CAGCUCUUCCCUCCGCUUCCACCGGGGAGCCCUCGGAUGAAGAGCUGGUCGAGGCGGUAGUUGACUUGGAGAAGUAGGAGGAGAGGAAACGACAGCCUCAGACGUACAGGCCCCUCUCUCGCUCCUGCCGCAUCCACCUCCUCCCCCCUCAUCAGCAGCACAGAAGGGAGCUGGUGUCUCUGCCGUGGACGAGCCCACGGACAGCGAGCUGCUGGAGGCCUCACAGGAACUGGACCGG